rnacentral:rRNA from 1 species
CAAUAGCGUAUAUUAAAGUUGUUGCAGUUAAAAAGCUCGUAGUUGGAUUUCUGGUUGAAGCGACCGGUCGGGCGUUGAUUCGUCUGCACUGGAGUCGGUUUUGGCCAUCCUCUAGGAAAGUGCGUCUGGUAUUAAGUUAUCGGGCGUAUGAUCCUGGUCUUUUACUGUGAAAAAAUUAGAGUGUUUAAAGCAGGCCUUCGCCUUGAAUACAUUAGCAUGGAAUAAUAAGAUAGGACUUUGGUCUAUUUUGUUGGUUUGCAGACCGAAGUAAUGAUUAAUAGGGAUAGUUGGGGGUAUUCGUAUUCCGUUGUCAGAGGUGAAAUUCUUGGAUUUACGGAAGACGAACUACUGCGAAAGCAUUUACCAAGGAUGUUUUCAUUA